rnacentral:misc_RNA from 1 species
UGUAGGAGCCGGCUUGCUGGCGAUAGAGGUGGUUCAGCCAGUGACGAUUUCGACUGAAUGUCCGCCAUCGCCAGCAAGCCGGCUCCCACA